CGGCCGGGUCGGUCGUGGCGGGUGGCCGCCGGUAUGUGGCGGCGCUGGUCGCGGCCGUGGACCGGACCCGGUUCGAGGCCGGGCUCGCCGCC
rnacentral:tRNA from 1 species